rnacentral:rRNA from 1 species
UCCUACGGGGGGCAGCAGUGGGGGAUAUUGGUCAAUGGGGGAAACCCUGAACCAGCAACGCCGCGUGAGGGAAGACGGCCUUCGGGUUGUAAACCUAAGUGCUCAGGGAUGAAACAAAUGACAGUACCUGAAAAGCAAGCUCCGGCUAACUACGUGCCAGCAGCCGCGGUAAUACGUAGGGAGCAAGCGUUGUCCGGAUUUACUGGGUGUAAAGGGUGCGUAGGCGGGAACACAAGUCAGGCGUGAAAUACCGGGGCUCAACUCCGGGGCUGCGCUUGAA